GUAUGGUUCGCAAGUUAUUUCUCUGGUUCAUCUCAAAUUGAGCGUCUUGAUACUUCAUAUGAAUAUUUGGUUGUAACAAAUUGUUUUCCGCAAGUCACAAUUUUUUGUAUGCAAGAAAUAUGUAUAAAAUUCCUCAAAGCAUUGUAGAUAAGCAGCUUCAUAUGUCUGAGUGUCUGAUAUGCCUUUCUUUUUCAGUUUUUCCUGCCAGAAAGAAAGCAAGUGACCUAUUUAAUCUCAGAGAUAUGUCCCAUUAUCAGUUUUGAGGAGUCAUUGUUCCAGUCACACAAAAUGUUGACAGAUGUAUCAUUUACAAUGACCAUUCAAUUGUAAUUUCAGUGCCAUGUCAUAAAAUUUCAAUUCACCAGUUCAGCCCCUUCCAUAAGAUAUUGGAUCAACAGUUGGAAGUGAACCGUGCAAUACAUCACUCUAAUAUUAGUUAUAAUCGGCUGACCAUGUAGGAUGUACCGCUUGUGAUGUAUUACACUCCAUAUCUCCUUACAAUUUGUAGCGUGAAAUUUUUAUUCCUCUCAUUUGUCCAUUUUUUUUGUUCUAUCUCUUAAGCUGGUGAAUAGGAAGUUAUGUUGUUUCA